rnacentral:tRNA from 1 species
AUCUAUUUAGUAUAUAAGUAUAUUUGACUUCCAAUCAAAAGGUUUGAAUAUUUCAAAAUAGAUA